rnacentral:rRNA from 1 species
CGGCCAGACUCCUACGGGAGGCAGCAGUGAGGAAUAUUGGUCAAUGGUCGGGAGACUGAACCAGCCAAGCCGCGUGAGGGAAUAAGGCCCUACGGGUCGUAAACCUCUUUUGCCGGGGAGCAACGGGGUCCUUGCGAGGACCCGAUGAGAGUACCCGGAGAAAAAGCAUCGGCUAACUCCGUGCCAGCAGCCGCGGUAAUGCGGAGGAUGCGAGCGUUAUCCGGAUUUAUUGGGUUUAAAGGGUGCGUAGGCGGGCUGUUAAGUCAGCGGUCAAAUGUCGGGGCUCAACCCCGGCCUGCCGUUGAAACUGGCGGCCUCGAGUGGGCGAGAAGUAUGCGGAAUGCGUGGUGUAGCGGUGAAAUGCAUAGAUAUCAGGAGGAACACCAGUGGCGAAGGCGGCUUGCUGGACGAUGACUGACGUUGAGGCUCGAAAGCGUGGGGAGCAAACAGGAUUAGAUACCCGGGUAGG